rnacentral:rRNA from 1 species
AAGUAGGGCGGGACACGUGAUAUCCUGUUUGAAGAUGGGGGGACCAUCCUCCAAGGCUAAAUACUCCUGAUUGACCGAUAGUGAACCAGUACUGUGAAGGAAAGGCGAAAAGAACCCCGGUGAGGGGAGUGAAAUAGAACCUGAAACCUUGUACGUACAAGCAGUGGGAGCCCUUUAAGGGUGACUGCGUACCUUUUGUAUAAUGGGUCAGCGACUUAUAUUUUGUAGCGAGGUUAACCGAAUAGGGGAGCCGAAGGGAAACCGAGUCUUAACUGGGCGUCUAGUUGCAAGGUAUAGACCCGAAACCCGGUGAUCUAGCCAUGGGCAGGUUGAAGGUUGGGUAACACUAACUGGAGGACCGAACCGACUAAUGUUGAAAAAUUAGCGGAUGACUUGUGGCUGGGGGUGAAAGGCCAAUCAAACCGGGAGAUAGCUGGUUCUCCCCGAAAUCUAUUUAGGUAGAGCCUUGAGCGGACACCUUCGGGGGUAGAGCACUGUUUCGGCUAGGGGUCCAUCCCGGAUUACCAACCCGAUGCAAACUACGAAUACCGAAGAGUGAUACUCAGGAGACACACGGCGGGUGCUAACGUCCGUCGUGGAGAGGGAAACAACCCAGACCGCCAGCUAAGGUCCCAAAGUCUAUAUUAAGUGGGAAACGAAGUGGGAAGGCUUAGACAGCUAGGAUGUUGGCUUAGAAGCAGCCAUCAUUUAAAGAAAGCGUAAUAGCUCACUAGUCGAGUCGGCCUGCGCGGAAGAUGUAACGGGGCUCAAAUAUAGCACCGAAGCUGCGGCAUCAGUAGCAAUACUGUUGGGUAGGGGAGCGUUCUGUAAGCGGAUGAAGGUGGCUCGAGAGGGCUGCUGGACGUAUCAGAAGUGCGAAUGCUGACAUAAGUAACGAUAAAACGGGUGAAAAACCCGUUCGCCGGAAGACCAAGGGUUCCUGUCCAACGUUAAUCGGGGCAGGGUGAGUCGGCCCCUAAGGCGAGGCUGAAAAGCGUAGUCGAUGGGAAACGGGUUAAUAUUCCCGUACUUGGAUAAACUGCGAUGUGGGGACGGAGCAGGUUAGGUUAUCGCACUGUUGGAUAUGUGCGUUUAAGUUGGUAGGUGAGAAGUUUAGGCAAAUCCGGACUUCUAUCACACCGAGAGAUGAUGACGAGGCUCUACGGAGCUGAAGUAACCGAUACCACACUUCCAGGAAAAGCCACUAAGCUUCAGGUUUAUCUAAACCGUACUGAAAACCGACACAGGUGGUCAGGUAGAGAAUACUCAGGCGCUUGAGAGAACUCGGGUGAAGGAACUAGGCAAAAUAGCACCGUAACUUCGGGAGAAGGUGCGCCGGCGUAGAUUGUAGUCCCUUGCGGGCGAAGGUUGAACCGGUCGAAGAUACCAGCUGGCUGCAACUGUUUAUUAAAAACACAGCACUCUGCAAACACGAAAGUGGACGUAUAGGGUGUGAUGCCUGCCCGGUGCUGGAAGGUUAAUUGAUGGUGUAAUCGAAAGAGAAGCUCCUGAUCGAAGCCCCAGUAAACGGCGGCCGUAACUAUAACGGUCCUAAGGUAGCGAAAUUCCUUGUCGGGUAAGUUCCGACCUGCACGAAUGGCAUAAUGAUGGCCAGGCUGUCUCCACCCGAGACUCAGUGAAAUUGAAAUCGCCGUGAAGAUGCGGUGUACCCGCGGCUAGACGGAAAGACCCCGUGAACCUUUACUAUAGCUUGACACUGAACAUUGAAUUUUGAUGUGUAGGAUAGGUGGGAGACUUAGAAGUAGUCACGCCAGUGAUUAUGGAGUCGUCCUUGAAAUACCACCCUUUAACGUUUGAUGUUCUAACGAAGAUUACGAAACGUGGUCUCGGACAGUGUCUGGUGGGUAGUUUGACUGGGGCGGUCUCCUCCCAAAGAGUAACGGAGGAGCACGAAGGUUUGCUAAUGACGGUCGGACAUCGUCAGGUUAGUGCAAUGGUAUAAGCAAGCUUAACUGCGAGACAGACAAGUCGAGCAGGUACGAAAGUAGGUCAUAGUGAUCCGGUGGUUCUGAAUGGAAGGGCCAUCGCUCAACGGAUAAAA